GGGGACGACAGGCUUCGACGUGGUUGUCUCGUGCGAGCAGUUGCGAGCCGAGGUCCCCGGUCGGCCUCGUAAAACAACCGGGAAAACCAUAAGUGCGGACUCUCACGAGUACGCCCUCGCUGCUUAGCAACAACUAAGCGAGCGAGGUGUCGGCCCGCCCUCGGCCCGUGGGGUGGAAAUCCGGCAUCAACAACGGGCUCCACCCGCGCCGAGCGCCUUCGGCGGCGCGGGGAAAUCUAAGGAGGCUGGCCCCCCGCCACCCUGCCUGAGCGGCGAUCGGGGAGCGAGACACAGAGCUCUGGCUACGCUCGUAGAAGCUGUUCGUGCCCGACCGCGGACGUGGGUUCGAUUCCCACCGUCUCCAUCA
rnacentral:tmRNA from 1 species